rnacentral:rRNA from 1 species
GACGAACGCUGGCGGCGUGCUUAACACAUGCAAGUCGAACGAUGAACCGGAGCUUACUCUGGGGAUUAGUAGCGAACGGGUGAGUAACACGUGGGCAACCUGCCCCAGACACCGGGAUAACCAUUCGAAAGGAUGGCUAAUACCGGAUACGACCACUUCGGGCAUCCUCUGGGGGUGAAAGCAGCAAUGCGCCGAUGGGGUGCCUCGCGGCCUAUCAGCUAGUUGGUGAGGUAACGGCUCACCAAGGCGACGACGGGUAGCUGGUCCGAGAGGAUGACCAGCCACAUUGGGACUGAGACACGGCCCAGACUCCUACGGGAGGCAGCAGUGGGGAAUAUUGCGCAAUGGGCGAAAGCCUGACGCAGCGACGCCGCGUGUGGGAUGAAGGUCUUCGGAUUGUAAACCACUGUCGGGAGGGACGAAGCUCUGACGGUACCUCCAAAGGAAGCACCGGCUAACUCUGUGCCAGCCGCCGCAGUAA